rnacentral:rRNA from 1 species
UUUUAUUUGAGAGUUUGAUCCUGGCUCAGGAUGAACGCUGGCGGCGUGCCUAACACAUGCAAGUUGAGCGAUUUACUUCGGUAAAGAGCGGCGGACGGGUGAGUAACGCGUGGGUAACCUACCCUGUACACACGGAUAACAUACCGAAAGGUAUGCUAAUACGGGAUAAUAUAUUUGAGAGGCAUCUCUUGAAUAUCAAAGGUGAGCCAGUACAGGAUGGACCCGCGUCUGAUUAGCUAGUUGGUAAGGUAACGGCUUACCAAGGCGACGAUCAGUAGCCGACCUGAGAGGGUGAUCGGCCACA